rnacentral:rRNA from 1 species
GAUGAACGCUGGCGGCGUGCCUAAUACAUGCAAGUCGAGCGAACAGACGAGGAGCUUGCUCCUCUGACGUUAGCGGCGGACGGGUGAGUAACACGUGGAUAACCUACCUAUAAGACUGGGAUAACUUCGGGAAACCGGAGCUAAUACCGGAUAAUAUAUUGAACCGCAUGGUUCAAUAGUGAAAGACGGUUUUGCUGUCACUUAUAGAUGGAUCCGCGCCGCAUUAGCUAGUUGGUAAGGUAACGGCUUACCAAGGCAACGAUGCGUAGCCGACCUGAGAGGGUGAUCGGCCACACUGGAACUGAGACACGGUCCAGACUCCUACGGGAGGCAGCAGUAGGGAAUCUUCCGCAAUGGGCGAAAGCCUGACGGAGCAACGCCGCGUGAGUGAUGAAGGUCUUCGGAUCGUAAAACUCUGUUAUGUGGGAAGAACAAAUGUGUAAGUAACUAUGCACGUCUUGACGGUACCUAAUCAGAAAGCCACGGCUAACUACGUG